rnacentral:rRNA from 1 species
AGUGAACGCUGGCGGUAGGCCUAAUACAUGCAAGUCGAACGGCAGCACAGUAAGAUUUCGCCUUUAAGGUUAGCGACUGACGGAUGGGUAACGCAUACAUCACCUUCUUAUUUUUCGUGGGUGACUUCGUAAGGCCACAUAUAAUAAUACCGAAUAUGUUCUACGGCAUAGUUCAAGAGUUAAUGGCACUUUUCCUGUCACUUUUAGAUGAUUCCGCGUUGCAUUAGCUAGUUGGUAAGGUCACGGCUCACCAAGGCAACGAUGCGUAGCCGAUCUGAGAGGGUGAUCGGCCACACUGGAACUGAGACACGGUCCAGACUCCUACGGGAGGCAGCAGUAGGGAAUAUUGGACAAUGGGCGAAAGCCUGACGCAGCAACGCCGCGUGAGUGAAGAAGGUCUUCGGAUCGUAAAACUCUGUUAUUAGGGAAGAACAGAUGUGUAAGUAAACCUGCCUGUCCUGACGGUACCCAAUGAGAAAGCCCCGGCUAACUACGUG